AUGAUAGUACCGAAUUUCCUUGGAAUGGAACAUACAAGCCGGAUCAUUGUCACCACCAGGGAAGAAAAUAUAGCUAAAGUUUGUUCACAGAGACAAGAAGAAAAUAUAUACAUGCUCAAAGAUCUAGAUCACACGGAUGCACGUGACCUCUUCAGUAAAAAGGUAUUCAAGAAGACUACUGAUUUGAAUUUGCAAUAUCCAGAGCUAGUUGAACAGACAGAACAGAUUCUGAGAAAGUGUGGUCGGCUCCCCCUUGCAAUAGUCACCAUAGGUGGCUUCUUGUCCAACCAACCAAAAACCUCUUUGGAACGGAGGAAAUUGAAUGAUAAUAUCAAUUCUGAGUUGGAGAUGAAUCCAGAGCUUGGGACCAUAAGAAAUAUUACAAGGUUGGACGGGGACGAUUGGCACGUUAAGGUUGGACGGGGACGAUUGGCACGUCGGUGGAGUGCAGAGGGUUACUCAAGGGACGUGCAUGGCAAGUGUGCGAUGGAAAUAGCGGACGGCUACUUCAUGGAACUUAUAAGCAGGAGUAUGAUCCUACCAUCUCAACAAUCAAUCGUCGGUACAAAUGGAAUUGGUUCCUGCCAAGUUCAUGAUCUUAUCCGUGAAAUUGGUGUCUCCAAGUCGAUGGAAGAAAAUCUUGUUUUUACACUGGAGGAAGGUUGCAGCUCGAACAGCCAGACCACGUUGCGCCACCUGACUAUAAGCAGCAACUGGAAGGGAGAUAAGAAUGAGUUUCAGAGCAUAGUGGACAUGUCCCGUCUAUGGAGGUUGCUACGAGUGCUAGACCUGGAAGACACAUAUGAUCUCUAUGAUCAUCACCUUAAGCAUAUUGGGAAGCUUCUUCACCUAACAUACCUUUCUCUAAGAGGAUGUGGGUAUAUUUUUUACCUGCCAGAUUCACUGGGCAACCUGAGGCAACUCGAGACACUAGAUGUCAGAGGUACUAGGAUUGUCAAGUUGCCAAAGAGCAUCAUCAAGCUUCAGAAGCUAAACUAUCUUCGAGCUACCACAAUGCCAACUGAGGAUGGUAUGCUAGUUCCAAGAGGGUUGAGGAAACUGAAAGCCCUGCACACAUUGGGUGUUGUGAACAUCGGAACACGAGGGAAGGUUAUUAUACAGGACAUAAAAGGACUCACGCUGUUGCACAAGUUGGGAGUGACUAGCGUCAAUAAGGAAAAAGGCCAGAAGUUGUGUUCAACAAUUGUUGGUCUGAGCCGCCUGGAGUCAUUGUCAAUCCGAUCAGAGGGGGAGCCUGGUUUAUGUGGCUGCUUGGAGGGAAAGUUCUCAUUUCCUGAGACACUGCAGAGCCUCAAGCUUUACGUCUCCGAACUGAACCAGAAAGGAAGCGUGAAAGGGGAAAGCGAGUUCAACGCAUCGCCGGGAAACCCACCACAGGAGCACGAUGAUGCCAUACAAGUCCUUGGGAACCUAACAAAUCUGGCAUUCCUGCAUCUGUUGAAGAAGUCACUCGAGGAUGAAGAGGUCCAUCUCAAUUUCCAGCAGGGGAUGUUCGGGAGCCUGGUGGUGCUGGAGCUGAGCAUGGGAGUUGGAUCAAGCCUCAGGUCUGUCAAGUUUGAACAAGGAACAACCCCGAAGCUUGAGGUGCUCAAGUUUGACAGGAGUGCUUCUCACGUCCUUCGAAGUUCCGUUUUGGGUCUACCAUCUCUCGCCAGCCUCAAGGAAGUUGUGCUAGAAUGUGUCUUUUAUCACAUGGCACACCUGAGGGCCGAGCUCGCCAAGAACCCAAACCGACCUGUACUGAAGACGCUUGUUCAUGUCUGCAUCUGCAUCGUUUCCAGCCUGUUUGCUAUACUUGUUAUUGUUCAUCUGGCAUGGCAAUGGCAGCCAACUUGUGUUUGGCGUAAUCUUUUCUUCUCGUAUAUAUCGGAGGAUUCUGGCUGCAGCAUGCAUGGAUGCAUGCUGAAUCAGAAACAUAUUUUGAGCAACACUGACUGCAGUUCCAUGUCCAUGAAACAAGAGGUAAGAGUUCAGCAUUGCCUACAGUCGUGCAGCAUUCAUGAGACCUUCAAAUCUGUGAAUUUUAAAUGUGAGACCGUCGGGGCGCGCAUCGGCCAUGCUCUUGACCGCACCCUCCGCAGCCUCCACAUCUUCAUCCCUCGCGCCAUGGAGAAACAUCAUGAAAUGGACGCGAGCAAGGCCGGAGAGGCGCUGUUUCAAGCACCGAUCCAGUCCUGGCAGUCGCCAUCAUUGUUGCUGUCGUCCACGGCGAGGUCGACGAAGGGCGGAGGCUGCGACGGGAAUAGCCACGGGACAAGUGGUGACGGCGCAUGCGGUGCUGCAGCAGGUGGCACCUGCUCCAGCUCGGGAUGCUGCUGCAGCAGCGGCUGCUGCUACGAUGACCACGUCUCCUCGCCCACCCACAUGGCUAGGGCCAACACCAACUCCGACGUGCACUGUGGUCGUCCACAGCCAUGA
rnacentral:rRNA from 1 species